rnacentral:rRNA from 1 species
AGAGUUUGAUCCUGGCUCAGGAUGAACGCUAGCGGCAGGCCUAAUACAUGCAAGUCGAGGGGUAACAGAAAGUGCUUGCACUUUGCUGACGACCGGCGAACGGGUGAGUAACGCGUAUACAAUCUACCUCAUACUAGAGAAUAGCCCGAAGAAAUUUGGAUUAAGACUCUAUAGUAUCAUUUAAAGACAUCUUUUUAUGAUUAAAGGUUACGGUAUGAGAUGAGUAUGCGUUCUAUUAGUUUGUAGGUGAGGUAACGGCUCACCUAGACUGCGAUAGAUAGGGGCCCUGAGAGGGGGACCCCCCACACUGGUACUGAGACACGGACCAGACUCCUACGGGAGGCAGCAGUAAGGAAUAUUGGUCAAUGGACGAAAGUCUGAACCAGCCAUGCCGCGUGCAGGAUGAAUGCCCUAUGGGUUGUAAACUGCUUUUAUACAGGAAGAAAAACUUUCUCGUGAGAAAGCUUGACGGUACUGUAAGAAUAAGGAUCGGCUAACUCCGUGUCAGCAGCCGCGGUAAUACGGAGGAUCCAAGCGUUAUCCGGAAUUAUUGGGUUUAAAGGGUCCGUAGGUGGAUAAUUUAGUCAGAGGUGAAAUCCUGCAACUUAACUGUAGAAUUGCCUUUGAUACUGGUUAUCUUGAGUUAUUAUGAAGUGAUUAGAAUGUGUAGUGUAGCGGUGAAAUGCAUAGAUAUUACACAGAAUACCAAUUGCGAAGGCAGAUCACUAAUAAUCAACUGACACUGAGGGACGAAAGCGUGGGUAGCGAACAGGAUUAGAUACCCUGGUAGUCCACGCCGUAAACGAUGGUCACUAGCUGUUUGGACUUCGGUCUGAGUGGCUAAGCGAAAGUGAUAAGUGACCCACCUGGGGAGUACGUUCGCAAGAAUGAAACUCAAAGGAAUUGACGGGGGCCCGCACAAGCGGUGGAGCACGUGGUUUAAUUCGAUGAUACGCGAGGAACCUUACCAGGGCUUAAAUGUUUGGUGACAGAUCUAGAAAUAGGUUUUUCUUCGGACACUAAACAAGGUGCUGCAUGGUUGUCGUCAGCUCGUGCCGUGAGGUGUCAGGUUAAGUCCUAUAACGAGCGCAACCCCUGUUGUUAGUUGCCAGCGAGUAAUGUCGGGAACUCUAGCAAGACUGCCAGUGCAAACUGUGAGGAAGGUGGGGAUGACGUCAAAUCAUCACGGCCCUUAUGUCCUGGGCUACACACGUGCUACAAUGGUAGGUACAGAGAGCAGCCAAUGCGCGAGCAUGAGCAAAUCUAUAAAACCUAUCUCAGUUCGGAUCGGAGUCUGCAACUCGACUCCGUGAAGCUGGAAUCGCUAGUAAUCGGAUAUCAGCAAUGAUCCGGUGAAUACGUUCCCGGGCCUUGUACACACCGCCCGUCAAGCCAUGGAAGUUGGGAGUGCCUGAAGUCCGUUUCCGCAAGGAUCGGCCUAGGGUAAAAUCGAUAACUAGGGCUAAGUCGUAACAAGGU